UCAGUAUCAAAAUGCCCGUUUUUUUGCUGAUGUGGCAGUCCAAUAUGACAACUCUCAAUUAUUAAUAGGCGUUUGUCCACACGCACCUGGCCAACGUGACACAUCUUUAAUUUCCCUCCAUUUUUUAUUAAUUUCUCCCCUUCCUCCAUCCAUCUACUCUUCUUCUUCAAAAAAAAAAAAAAAAAAAAAAUCUCUCAAUUUUCCAUACUCCGUUUUCAAUAUGAGGAUCUGAAAAUCCAUACCUAAUUCUCCUUCAUCCUCAUCAACAUCAUCAUCAUCUUCAUUAGGAAUUGAAAAAAACAAAAUCACACCAAAUCAGCUCAAAGAAUCUCCAAACAAGCAACUUCCAAUCAAAAUUUCUAAGUUGUGUUUGGGAGUUGAUAUCGUAGUCUAUAAAAAUUGGUACUUUUAAUUUUAUAUUCCAUAAUUGCCGCAGUUGGUACUAAAAAAAAAAAGGAGAAAAAGGAAUUUAUUUCCCUUCAUCUUUGUUUUUUCGUUGGAUUUGUAAGAAUUUAUAUGGGUAUGUGAAAAAGUGAACAAAUUUUUUUAUUUUUUUUAAUAAGAUGAAUCAAGAAAUUAUGUGGGCGUGGGACCUUGGGCUUCAUGGUGAAGAAAGAAGGUGUUGGAGAUGAAAAUGGUGAUAAGGAAGGUUUAUUAAUGGUUGAACGAAGCAAGAGAGUAAAGAGAAAGCUCUAGGGAGUGAAGUAGCCAUUGAGGGCUGGAGAAAAAAAAAAAAAAAAAACUCUCACCUGUUGGAUAAUUAGCACUUAGCAGGCUUUCAUUGAAAUGUUGAAUAAAAUUAAUCAAACUUUUGAGCAAGUAUAUGAUGACAAAGAGGCUAGAUAAUGUGAAUUAUAUAGAGUGAUGCAAGCAGAUAAAUCGGAACACUUUUGAAACUAAAUUAAUUUUUGAUAUGUUUUCAAUAGAUUGUAUGCUUUUUUAGGGUGUUUAAUGGCUUUGAAAUUUCAUGGAUUUCUGAAAGUUUUGAAUAAAACAGUUUUCACAUUAUUUCAUAUAUUUGGCACAGCUUGUACCAUGUUACUUCAUCUUUUGCCGAAGCUACCUUAAGAUCAUAUUUCUGUAGCUUUAUAUGUUUUAGAAUGCUGAUUUUCACAACUAUAUCUUGGUGUUGUGAGAGAUGACUUUCCGCUUUACCAACACGUGUUACUAUUUUUUUUGGUUUCUUGAAACUGCAUUUUUCUCUGUACGUUCUCUGGCACUUUUACCAUUUCACAAAGGCAAACAAGGAGACUGUUAAGAUCCAGAGCGUGGUUGCUCUGGUGGGUCAAAUGCACAGCUAAAGGACCUAAUGGAAGCCCAUAUGGUAAGUAGCCGUAGAUUUUCAUAUGUGCUUGCAUGUGCCGGCACAAAUGCUCAAUUAAUGAGCUGAAGUUUUAUUUUAUGGGAUAAACUUAGCCUGACAAGUUGUUCUUUCAUUUAUAAUUUUCUCAAUUGUGUAUCCAAGUGCUAUAAGAUAUUAUUAACCGGGGUGGUGUAGUUAAAUUGAUUUACUUCAUUGAUUGAUUUAUAACACUUCACUUCACCUAAAUUUUCCUUGCCUUAAGAUUGUGACUGUUUGUGGCUUAUAUGGGUUCGGCAGGUUAGUUUUUAAUUCUCACUCAUAGGAGCUUGAACUUGCUAUGAGAAUGUGAAUAUUGGCAUUUGGUGUUUGUUUCCUUCAUUGAUUAAAACUUCACUAUCAAGUAGAACUUCAACUUCAUAUGUAACAAAACUUUUGUAUUUUAAGAAAGCCACCAACAAAAUGACUUCUUGAUUUUCUAGCCAUGCUUUUUUCUCUUUUUUAUUUUAUUUUAUUUGUUCCAUGUUUUUUCUGUGUUCCUUUUCUGUAUAAUCGGAUUGUGAUGAUUUAAUUAUCUAUUCUAGUGCUUCACUUUAUUUUCCUAGCUUCGACCUCAAGAAAAUUAAAAAUAAAAUAAGUGAAACUACUUAACCAGUGAUUUGAUCUCACAAGUGAGAAUUGUUUCAGCAGAGUUUAAGUUCAUUAUUACUGUUUAUGCUUCAUUUUUCCUGAUGACAGAAACUUGGAAACACAAAGAUGUCGUGUUGCCUGAUUUUUGUAUUUUCAAGUUCCAAUCGUAGCAUAUGAUGUUCUGAGAAGGCAGAUUGACCAGGAUUAUGUAUGGAAUUGUUGCUCGGCAACUCCAGCAAUGGCAAAGGAGAAAUGAAUGGAACAAAUGGAUAGAAUAUUAGCUGCAAAAGAGGACUUGUCCAUGCUGCCAUUAGAUGUUUCUAAUUGGUGACACAAUUUUCAUACCUAAAAAGAGUUUUCCUACUUUGGCAGUGGCUAAAUUGUAAGUUUUUUACCUUUAAGUUGUCACAAUUUGGUCAUUGCACUUCACAUCACACGUGGCUUGCAAUUACCAAUCUAAAAGUCUAUUCGUGUGUUUCGUAUUCCCCUUCCUCUAGUAUUAAUAGUUCAAGAUUCACGCUUUAUCAAUA